rnacentral:pre_miRNA from 2 species
GAUUUCAAUUGGAAAAGCCAUAAACAGCAAAGUUGUACAACUUAUUAAGAUCUACAACUUUUAUUUUGGUCACUUCUUCAUCCGACAAAAUGACAGUUAUAUUAUUCACAAAAAUCACAUUUCUCUCAUCUGGUUUAUAAACAUCAACACAAAUAUAUCAAUUUUGUAAACAUUGGUACUAUCACUUUGUCGGAUGAAGAAGUGACCAACAUAAAAGUUGUAGAUCUUGAUAUGUUGUACAACUUUGCUGUUUAUGGCUUUUCCAUUUGAAAUC